rnacentral:tRNA from 1 species
UGCCGAGAUAGCCAAGCGGACUACGGCGCUGGUCUUGAAAACCAGUGGUGCAUGUCACCGCGUGAGUUCGAAUCUCACUCUCGGCGU